rnacentral:rRNA from 1 species
GACGGAGGGUGCUAGCGUUGUUCGGAAUUACUGGGCGUAAAGGGCGCGUAGGCGGCCGGUUGCGUCGGAUGUGAAAGCCCGGGGCUCAACCCCGGAACGGCAUCCGAUACGGGCUGGCUUGAGACCGAGAGAGGUGAGUGGAAUACCCAGUGUAGAGGUGAAAUUCGUAGAUAUUGGGUGGAACACCGGUGGCGAAAGCGGCUCACUGGCUCGGUUCUGACGCUGAGGCGCGAAAGCGUGGGGAGCAAACAGG